rnacentral:rRNA from 1 species
CCUACGGGCGGCAGCAGUGGGGGAUAUUGCACAAUGGGGGAAACCCUGAUGCAGCGACGCCGCGUGAGUGAAGAAGUAAUUCGUUGUGUAAAGCUCUAUCAGCAGGGAAGAAAAUGACGGUACCUGAGUAAGAAGCCCCGGCUAACUACGUGCCAGCAGCCGCGGUAAUACGUAGGGGGCAAGCGUUAUCCGGAUUUACUGGGUGUAAAGGGAGCGUAGACGGCAAUGCAAGUCUGGAGUGAAAGGCCGGGGCUCAACCCCCGGACUGCUCUGGAAACUGUACGGCUGGAGUGCAGGAGAGGUAAGUGGAAUUCCUAGUGUAGCGGUGAAAUGCGUAGAUAUUAGGAGGAACACCAGUGGCGAAGGCGGCCUACUGGACUGUAACUGACGUUGAGGCCCGAAAGCGUGGGGAGCAAACAGGAUUAGAUACCCUGGUAGUC